GGUCCUGUGGGCGAGUGGUUAACCACCUGGUCAACAGCGUUUGAUUUCACCCAGCGUUGCAUUUCCUAAAGCGGAAGUUCAGCGAAGGGGCCAGGAAGACGUCAGUUCGAACCUGACCGGGACCA